UUGACCUCAAAUCAGGUAAGACUACCCGCUGAACUUAAGCAUAUCAAUAAGCGGAGGAAAAGAAACUAACAAGGAUUCCCCUAGUAACUGCGAGUGAAGCGGGAAAAGCUCAAAUUUAAAAUCUGGUAGUCUUUGGCUGCCCGAGUUGUAAUCUAGAGAAGUGUUACCCGUGCUGGACCGUGUACAAGUCUCCUGGAAUGGAGCGUCAUAGAGGGUGAGAAUCCCGUCUUUGACACGGACUCCCAGUGCUUUUGUGGUGCGCUCUCAACGAGUCGAGUUGUUUGGGAAUGCAGCUCAAAAUGGGUGGUGAAUUCCAUCUAAAGCUAAAUAUUGGCGAGAGACCGAUAGCGAACAAGUACCGUGAGGGAAAGAUGAAAAGAACUUUGGAAAGAGAGUUAAACAGUACGUGAAAUUGUUGAAAGGGAAACGCUUGAAGUCAGUCGCGUUGUCCAGAAAUCAACCUUGGUUCUCCUGGGUGUACUUUCUGGUUAACGGGCCAGCAUCAGUUUUGACCGGUGGAGAAAGUCCAAGGGAAUGUGGCAUCUUCGGAUGUGUUAUAGCCCUUGGUCGUAUGCACCGGUUGGGACUGAGGAAUUCAGCACGCCGCA
rnacentral:rRNA from 1 species